rnacentral:misc_RNA from 1 species
GAUGAAGAACGUAGCGAAAUGCGAUACUCGGUGUGAAUUGCAGAAUCCCGUGAACCAUCGAGUCUUUGAACGCAAGUUGCGCCCGAAGCCAUUAGGCCGAGGGCACGCCUGCCUGGGCGUCACACGUCGUUGCCCCCCCAUCUACUCCUUCGGGAUUGCGGGGGGCGGAUGAUGGCCUCCCGUGCGCCUCGUCGCGCGGUUGGCAUAAAUGCCAAGUCCUCGGCGACGCACGCCACGACAAUCGGUGGUUGCGAAACCUCGGUUGCCCGUCGUGUGCGGUCGUCGCGCAUCGAGGGCUCGAAAAAAUUGCCGGGCUCCGGCUCGGCUUUCAACGCGACCCCAGGUCAGGCGGGGUUACCCGCUGAAUUUAAGCAUAUCAAUAAGCGGAGGA